rnacentral:lncRNA from 1 species
UUCGUCAUAAAACAUCACAGAAAGGAUGGCAAAAGUGCGACGUAUGCCUAAACAUCAUGAAAUGUAUUUUGAUUCAGCAAUAUUUUACCAACGUCAUGGAACAAAAAGUUUUCAUGAUAUUUUUUAAAUGUCAUAAAAUGUAGGUUGAUUGAGCGACAUUUUAUUAAUAUUGUGAAAAAAAUAUCUUUUGUGACGUGUUGGGUAUAAAAUACCCCCCAGCCGAAGUUCGUGACGGG